UACGUAGGGACCAAGCGUUGUUCGGAUUUAUUGGGUUUAAAGGGUGCGUAGGCGGCUUUGUAAGUCAGUGGUGAAAUAUGGCAGCUCAGCUGUCAGGGUGCCAUUGAUACUGCGGAGCUUGAGUACAGAUGAGGUAGGCGGAAUUGACGGUGUAGCGGUGAAAUGCUUAGAUAUCGUCAAGAACACCGAUAGCGAAGGCAGCUUACUGGGCUGUAACUGACGCUGAGGCACGAAAGUGUGGGGAUCAAACAGG
rnacentral:rRNA from 1 species